rnacentral:rRNA from 1 species
GGAAUUUUCCGCAAUGGGCGAAAGCCUGACGGAGCAACGCCGCGUGAGGGAUGAAGGCCUCUGGGCUGUAAACCUCUUUUAUCAAGGAAGAAGAUCUGACGGUACUUGAUGAAUAAGCCACGGCUAAUUCCGUGCCAGCAGCCGCGGUAAUACGGGAGUGGCAAGCGUUAUCCGGAAUUAUUGGGCGUAAAGCGUCCGCAGGCGGUCUGUCAAGUCUGCUGUUAAAGCGUGGAGCUUAACUCCAUUUCGGCAGUGGAAACUGACAGACUAGAGUGUGGUAGGGGCAGAGGGAAUUCCCGGUGUAGCGGUGAAAUGCGUAGAUAUCGGGAAGAACACCAGUGGCGAAGGCGCUCUGCUGGGCCAUAACUGACGCUCAUGGACGAAAGCCAGGGGAGCGAAAGGGAUUAGAUACCCCUGUAGUCCUGGCCGUAAACGAUGAACACUAGGUGUCGGGGGAAUCGACCCCCUCGGUGUCGUAGCCAACGCGUUAAGUGUUCCGCCUGGGGAGUACGCACGCAAGUGUGAAACUCAAAGGAAUUGACGGA